UACGUAGGGGGCUAGCGUUGUCCGGAAUCAUUGGGCGUAAAGCGCGUGUAGGCGGUCCGGUAAGUCCGCUGUGAAAGUCGAGGGCUCAACCCUCGAAUGCCGGUGGAUACUGUCGGGCUAGAGUUCGGAAGAGGCGAGUGGAAUUCCCGGUGUAGCGGUGAAAUGCGCAGAUAUCAGGAGGAACACCAAUGGCGAAGGCAGCACUCUGGGACGUGACUGACGCUGAGACGCGAAAGCGUGGGGAGCAAACGGG
rnacentral:rRNA from 1 species